CUGGGCUUCGGUACACUGCUGCACGAGGAAGUCGAAAUAAACAUUUAUACCAGUUUUAUUCUUAACAAAUUUAAGCUAACUUUAGUCAAGCAUCCUUUUUUUGUUGGUUUUUACUUUUUUUUAAAGAAUGAACGAAAGAAAGAAAAAGGGAAAGGGGGAAAAAAAGGAAGGAGUACUUCAAAUUUUUGAGCCGAUCUGCAGCAUCAAGGGAUGUGGCAUCUGAAGCAAUGAAGUAAUGAGAAGCCAUGUGUCCAGGUACUCUCACAAAGGAUAUGAGAUGUCCAUCCCAGCCAAAAGUCCAGGAUUUCUACAGUAGCAACAAUCAGAGCAUCGGGACACUUUGGAGGAACAUAAGGCAACAAACUGACAGCCGGCUGGACCUAAUGCAACAGAAAAGCAAUCUAAUCCCCUGGGUGACCCAGGGGCAGUCCUGGUAAAGCAGCAAAAGUGAAUCGUCCUCACUGGAAGAGGAGCUGAAAGAUUGGAAUAGUGUCAGAGCAGUCACUGUCUCAGCAAGCUAUGCCUCAUGGUGAUCUACUCAUCCCAAUGAUUUGAGAAGGAGCUUCUCCAGCACUGGAACAUCUACAAAGUAAACAGAAGAAAAUGUAUACCUCCAUUUUGCAUAUACUACUGGGGCAUCAAAUGGAGAAUAUACUGUCACCUUCCCAAGGAAAUACAAAUAUAUGAUGUUAAAUAUAUACAAAAUAUGUGAAACCAUCUCUGCCAUUGACAUGAAAAUAUGAUCUAUCUGUACAUGUGCUUGGAUACUUGGAAAGAAACUAAUGUCUUAAAGCUGUAACACAUCCUGGUGAGUUCAUGACAAUGAUGACAGUCUCUAAACACUUCAAUGAGGAGUUGCCUCAGUCUCUUUGAAGCUCAGCCUGAUGCUAAGCCAUGCUCCAUUUUAAAGCACUGCCUUCAACUUUGGUGAUUUCAUCAAAUGACUGGAUUGCCUUGCAGUGGGAUAACCUAAUCUUCACUCCAUACUUUCUGCUCAUAAGCCACUUGAAAAACUGUUUGCAGUUUGGUCUUGGAGUGUAUAUUCUGCACUUGAAUGGUGUGGUUUUGGCUUCAGACCCUAUUGAAAGGGGAAACAAAUCUAAGACAUGACCACCUCCACCCUGCCUCCAAAAAACAAAAACCACCACAUUGAGAAAACCAUUCCAUUACUGUCUACUGCUCUAAAAUUAAAUGACAGAAACAACACAAAAAACCAAUUAGAUUUCCCCUGUUGAUUUUUAUAGCUUGCAUGUUACAGAAGUCAUAGCUUCCCUCUAAUUUCACUCCAGUAUGGAUCAGGCAUCAUUCCACAGCAAUAACAGGAACCAAACCCAUGGGAGGCACAAUUUUGGUGAACUUUUUUUUUCCCAUCCACAGCACAAACCCCAUUUAAUCCUGAAACACUAAAAUUAGAAAUAUCUUUUUCUACAUUUCCAAUGUCGUUUUAGUAAUUUCCCAGCUCUAUCAUUUGAAUUUGUUCAAUUUGUUGAAUUUCCACCUUGAAAACAUGUUAGUAUUAAUACCUGAAGUAAUGGAAUAGAUACAAGUUGAGUGCCUGGAUUUCCCAUGACACUGCUGUUGGAGAGAAUACUGAUCUGUAUUCCAGAGCAAUUGUAGGACACUCAAGUUGUCACUGGACUUAAAAUUAAGACUUGAUAAAACUGCUGCAUUUAGGAAAAAAUAUUUAGCUGUGUCAAUUAUAUUUUGACUUCUGAGGCUUGCAACUGUUUCAUGGCAGAAUGCUGAAAAAGAGGCAGCUGUGUCUAUGAUGGAAAGCACUCAUAUAAGUGUAUUGGUAAAAAAAGCGAACACAUUAUAGGCAAUAGAAUGUCCAUUUUUUAAGCAGCAAGAUAAGAUUUUUAAUAUUCAUCAAGUAUGGCAAUAAUUUUUUUUCUAGAUUUGUUGAUCACUUACUUGUUUGAAAAUAAGGGUGACGUUCUGCCAUAGCCUUUCUUUGCAGGCAAAUGGGCUAGAUAACAGCUACAGGCAUUUUUCUGUGUGAGGAAAUUGAAUAAAGACAGUCCAGGCUCCUCUCUGGAGCCAGGGACCAGCCGCAGAGCCAGCCGCAUUGCCCAUCAAACUUGCAGCUACAAUUGAUUUAAAAUAACUCAGCGGCAAUUAUUCCAGAAUAAAACCUUAUUUCUUCGUUGACGAUGUGAUCCGAUGCUAGGCUGUAGUCAGUGUUGUCAAGGCAUGGGAGAGACCUUACCUCGGGACUGCUGCUUGGAACCCGAGCAGUCCCCAGUGCCCUCAGCGUGGACACUCCAGGCGAACCGCUGGGGGGUUUUAAAUAGAUUUUUUUAAAUCUGGGGUCUCUGAAGCAGCAACUUGCAGGUCAGACCCAUCAACAGAGUGUCUAUUGUACUGAACAAAGAGCCCUGGUAGAGGCUGGGGAAGGCUCCGAGCCCCUCUCCGACAGCCGGGGUGCGAACUGCAGCCCCGUAGUUGCCGCCGGCCGGGGGCAGCUCCCGCCGGGUGCGGGGCUUUGAGCAUCCCCGUCUGCCCGUGCUGCCCCAACACCUGCGGCAGCAUUAGCCAGGCUCGGGCAUUCAUCGUCGCUCUGCAAACUAAGUGUCGAAAGCCCCCGCAAAGCAACCAACAAAAACCUGCAAAGGGGAAACCGCUGUAAUCAAGCGGCGGAGCUCUGGGGAUUUGGAGACGAGCGUGGAGAGAGUUCAGAUCAAAUGGGAUUUAAAUGUAAACAGCAGUAACUGCAUAUGAUCAAUAAUCACCUCGUGUGCAUUCCUCUACUCAUUUAACAUCAGCUAGGACAGUGCAAAUAUUGCAAGGGAGUACUCGACAAGGAAAUCAGCUGAGCGUGUGUUUAAACUGUGGUCUAUUAUUAAUAUGAACAAUUCUUUUCAAUUAAAAGUUUCAUUUAAUCCCCUCA